AUGGGCCUUCACCAGACACUGAACCUGCUGGCACAUGACCUGGGAGUUCCUGACCUCCAGAACUAUACUCUGGGGGAACAGGCAAUGACUGGUGACCUUGAAACCAUGCGUGUUUCUCAGUAUAGAGAGAGGCCUUGCUUCUGUAAAGGACGGAGGAAGAAUCGUGUCUUGAACAUUUUGGCAGCUCUCGAAACACCUGCAGCACCCAAACUUCACCCAGAACCCCAUCUCCUGCUGACGUUGGUCCCCAUGCUGCUGGGACAAGGUCCCCAAAGAUGGAGAUUGUGCCAUGAAGAGUGGAGUAUACAGCAGAUGCUCAGUAGAAUUUCUUUAAUCAGAUUGCUCCCAACAGUGUCAUGCUUGCAUUACUUUUUUAUUUGGAGGUACAAAACAGCCUAUUAUGUAAUGAUUUGUCUUAAUUGGGAAAUCAAACAUUUUGAGAAAAAUAAAAUCUUUAUUAUAUUUAAAAAUUAUUUUUGACAAACAUUUCUCAAAUGCCAGACCACUGUGCUGCGCACUCUACAUAACGGGGAUCGAACUUGGGUCCUUGUGCUUUCGGGGCAGGUGGUGGAACCACUGAGCUAAAUCCCUGGCCCUCUAUGUGAAUUUUUGAUUUCCCUUGGUCCUGGUGUGGUGGAGUCUCCAAGGACAGCUGCCGCCAGUCCUCUCCUCCCUGUUUUCCCAGGCCCAGAGAUGGACUCCUUUUCCCCAGACCUUGGGCCUGAUCUGGACUUGCGACUCGCUUUGACCAACAGAAAAGAGGAGGAGGUGCAG
rnacentral:lncRNA from 1 species